GGCCUGCUCGCGGCAAUUUCCGGCCUGGUGGGCGGAUCGGUGCUCGGCUUGUGUUGUGCUCGAGUUGUCGCGAGUUGGGGGCGUUUGGCCCGCUCUGCCGAAGGCCCAGCGCCUGGAGCGGAGUCGGGCGCCCAGCGUUGGCCGAAUGCUGACAGCCUCGCCGACAGGUGCUUAGGGGCCGCGGUGAGAGCGGCCGCGGAACGGCCACGGCCUCGGCCGGUGGCUCGGCGCGAAGGCGGAGCAGGCUGGUGGUACAGGGACCCUGGCGCUCUCGUGCGUUUGCUUAAAACAAAAGACAAAACCCAGGGAGCAGUUGUGACAAAAAGGUUUGAUGUUGAAUGGUGGGAAUGGGGGUGCCGGGUUUCUUUGCACUUUCCUCUCGCCUUCAGUUUUCUCAGAAGAAAAAGUAAGAAUAGCACAUCGGAGAACUUUGGGGACUUGUAAGGCCAAACGGUUUUAUCAGUCCUGUUAUCGGGCCCCAGAGACCAAGCUCUGGAGUUGCAAUGUUACAGAAAUAAACACAGAACUGGAAAGAAAGCAGUUUAUUAGAAAGAUACAAGGGAGCUGACAAGAAAGAGGAACGCCAGCUCCCCGCGGGGGUUGUGCGCAAGGCUCUUAAAGGCAUCUCAGAGGGCGAGGGGUCUGGCCGGCGUGGUGGUGCCGAAUUGUCCCGGACGUUACCUCCGUCGUUCUGGUGCCUCCGCUUAGUGGUCAGCAGAUGUUGACUGACAGGCUUUCCCAAAACAUGGUCAGGGACCUCCCUUGAUGUUUCUAUAAGAUAAACAGACACAAAACAAUUUUUGUAAUUUCUCUUUCUUCCCCAAGGCAAUGAUUCUUAUUGUAAAAACAGGGACUGGGCAUUGAUCCUUGGGAGUGUUCGUUCUGGCUUAAGAUUUGGCUGGUUGAUUGUUGACCGUAUGGCCAGUUUAUGGUCUACGAUACAUUUUUCUUAGAAGACAUUUUGGGAAUUUUUACCUUUUAACCUUUAAGCCUCAAGAUGGAGGUUUAACUUAAAAUGGAGUCCCUCUUGUUCUUCCUUAUGGUGGCUCACGUCCAGUCUGACAAAGGUCACAGCUACUGAGUCACGUGGGUGAAGAGGCCAAGGUGCAGAGAGAGGAGCGGCUGGUUUUUCCUGUGUCCCUCAGUUGCCGGCCCCCAGGGAGGCCCUGGAACUCUGGCGUAGCUCCCGCUUUGGCCCUGCUGGCCCUGCAGUCUGCCCUGGGUGGAGGGCUGGAGCCUGUGGCCUCAAAUGGGGUGGGUGCAGCCUGUGCAUCACAUUUGUGAGGACCAAGCCUCUAUUUUGCUCCGCUACCUUUAAAAGUGUUCAUAGUGUUGAAUGCACACUUGCUGUGUGCCCUGCCUGGUACCAGCUGCAGGAGGAGGCAAACAACCAAAGCCAGAAUGUGGGAUGUUUGGACCGUGACCCAGCUAGUUAAUUAAGGCCUGGAAGUAAAAAAAGGAAGUAAGGCUGUUUGAGAAUAAAAGGGUUUAGAAGACCUCAUCUAAUGGAAUGAGUGGACCUUACCUGGAUCACCGUCAAACAAGCCACCUGUAAAGACAUUUAUGAGGCAGUCGGGGACAUUUUAAUAUAAAUAGUAUUAGGUGAUAAUAGUUACUGAUACUUUUGUUAGGGAGAGAUAAGGCCUGGUGGUUAGUUAAAAAUGGCCUAGUCAUAUAGAGAUGCAAAUGGAACUACUUAUAGUAAGUUUCCAGUGUGGGGGAUUUGCUUUAUAAAUACUCUGGUUUAAAAAAAAUGAUGAAAACACGAGUGGCAAAAUGUUGAUUGAAGUGGCAAAGGUUAAAAUUGGAUGAGGAAUACUAUGGGAGUCAUGGCUUUUGUAUGUUUGAAAUUUUUUGUAAUACAAUUUAAAAUGAUGGUAUUCAUGUUUCUCAUUGGCUGUGACCAGUGAGAAGUCACUUAAUUGCUCAUGGCUUUGAUCUGCUCACCUGUAAAACUAGGGUCAUAAUUUAUUCUGUUUAUUCUGAGAUUUAAAAGCAAUACAAAUACUCAUUUCCUAACUGUUCCUGGGGCUUAGAAUCAGAAGGGCUUCUUGGCCAUAAAUAGCUCAUAGUGCAGCAUGGGGGCAGUCAACAGUUAUAGUCACUGUGUUCUGAGACAGAGACAAGCACAGGUUGUCGCAGUGUCAGUGCCACCCUGGGGACACUGAACCACCGGUGGUCUAGGCCAAAGCCACGCUCUGGAUGUGUAUCCAAAUGAUGGAUUUCCCUAACAGCAGCCUUCCUGUCCUGCCACCUCGUGGCCACAGUGGGAACUGUGUCCAGAGGUGUCAUUUUCCGUGGGCUCUUGGGAGCCUGCUCUGGUAGUUCCCUGAGGUCUGGAACUUCCCCACCUGAGUGCGAGUCCUCUCCACGUGGAGAUGAGGCUGUGUGUGUGGGAAGACUCCUGGAUAACCCCACGGAACACGCUUCCAGCAAAGGGUGCAGGUGGCCUGGGCAGGGCCUGCAGGAAAGAACAAGCUAAAGGGCACAUGGAGCCCCCAGCAGGGAUAGGGUGGUGCUUACAAAGAAAAGUGUCCUCAGGAGAAGGUUGUGCAGAUGGAUCAGUAGCACGUCGCCGUGGGUGUGAUGUUUGUAAGGGCGGCCGUAGGUGCCAGGCUCUGUGCAGAUGUCCCUUCUCAGAUCAGCCCCCAACAGGGCGAGGAGGGGAUGACCUGGCCAGGUUAGGUAAUUUGCUCAAGGUCAUGCAGGCAGGAAAAGGCAGCUUCUGUGUAUUUGCCCCAAUGGAUCCCAGCUUCCAGGUGACUGUCAGGGCUGAAGUCAGAACCCGUUCAGUCUCCUGCAGAGUCGUGGCUGUUGCCCAGUCGCAUCAUCAUCACUGGUUAUUUUUGGCCCUCGGCAGGGCCAGGGCCUUAUAUCCAAGUCUGGAAAUAAGCAAAUUUUAAAGAUGUGGGUGUGAUGACUCUGGUGGGCACAGUUCUACGAAUGGGCCCCAAGAUACCCACCCUCUCAUUCAUUCAAAUGGCGAUUUAGGUGCUGCUGUGGAGGGAGAAAGACUCAGAUCCGCCGCUGGUCUAAGCUGGAGGGGAGCGGGGACGGGUGGGGGGCGUUGAGGGCGUGGUCAUGGGGGAAGGCGUGCGGGCCUCCUAACAACAGAGUGGCCCCAGCUGGCUGCCCGCAAGGAAAUGAAGACCUCAGGCCUGCUGUCCCAAGGAGCGGAACUCGGUAGCCUGCACACGCGCCCGGAAAAGAGCCCAGCCCGGCCGGCACCUUGAUCUUGGCCUUGUGAGACCUGGAGUGGAGAAUCCAGCCUCAUUAACUAAGCUGCAUAAUAACCCAUGAGGUGUGGAAACCUGGAAAACACCUCCAGAGGGAGUGUUCAAAGAUGCAGUUUUCCUUCAGAAACAAAUCCUGUGUCCUGAGGCAGCCGGAAAGCAAACCGGCUGUGCCACACCCUUGUUGGUACCCCCAGCCUCCCCCAUCUGGUCCCCACUGCACAGAGCCUGCCUGAGGUCCUACCGACAUCACCCACCUGUGUCCCCUUGCCCUGUGCCCUCUGGGGGCUACAAGUCUGCAGCGGGCACGGCUGCCACCAGUGCUCAGAGGGUACCUUGUGCCAGUUGGAGGCUCACUCUGAGGCCAUGGCUCACAGAGGUGUUGGGCUCGGGGGCAGCCCAGCCAGAGCUUGGCCCCCUUUCGUCCUCAGGGGGCUGCAAGCAACGGAGCAGGGUUCCUGCAACGGGCCUGCGAGGCCCUUCAGGCGUGGCCCACCCUGGCCCAUGUGUUCCUGUGGGCCUCCUCUGAGCUGAACACACGCCGCCUCAGGUCAGGGCAGGGUCUCCCAUCUACUCUGAGCUCAGAGGCCCGUGCAGCCCCCUGCUCCUCACCAGCCCGCCAGACAGUAGAGUAAUUGACACGUUGUUUCUGAAUGCAAGAAUUAAGAAUCAAAAUGAAGAUUUCCAUAUAGGAAAAGAAUUACUGAAUGAAAGGUGAUGGGCAGCAUGGAUCCUUAAAAAAAAAAAGGACACCAGCUGGGUCAAAGACUUCACAGCCUAACCCCAACUUCAGGUGCCAGCCACCCAUUCCAGACCUCCUGCACUUCUGACCAACUGGCUAUAAAUUGGGACUUCCCAUGACAUCCUCCUAAAGUUCAGUAAUUUCCUAGGGUUGGGUGUGCUCACUAAUUCUGAAGCUCUCAGAAUCUUCUGGUUCAAGCGUGUUUAGAGAGCUCAGUCUCCAGUGCUCCCCACCCUUCUUUCGGGAGUGGGGCUGAAAGUUCCCACCCUCUCAUCUCUUGGCCUUUCUGCUGACCAGUCCCAUCCUGAGGCUAUCUAGGGGCUCCACCGUAAGUCACCUUAUGCUCCUAUCAGGGGAUUCCAGGUGUAGGACUUUUGAAGAGGGAACAAAGACAAAAUACUUAUUUCUUACUAUUCCAAAGGCUGUCAUAGACUUCUGACACUAGUCACUAAGACCUUUAACUGGUUUUCUAGUCCUACCCCCUGAGCAGCGUUUAAUAGUUUGGUUUCCCAUAUAGGACUUUCCACUGGGGAGCAAAUGUUCAAGGAGCUAACAUACUCUCGCUAACUUGCCAAUUUAUUUAAAUAAAUAAGUCUUACAGCUUUGAUACCAGUUUCAUGUGGCUGCAAUUAGUGGGGGAGUUAGUAUCAACUCUGUACUAAAAAAUAUUGGCAAAACUGGUUAUUAAUGCAGCAAAUACAAAUACAGGUCCCUACCUCACACUGGGUACAAAAAUAAAUUCCAGGUAGAUGGAAGAGCUAAAUGAAAAAAUACGGUAAAAAUACUAUGAUUUUAGGAUAUUAUAUAACUGCAUUAAAAAAGAACUAACACGAGCCAUUUAAAAAAUAUAUAUUUGACUACAUAAAAAUUUUAAAUAUGUUAAAUCUGUUAGUAGUUAGGGAUAUGUAAGUAAAUCAAUGAGAUAACAUUUUUUACUCAAGUAGGCAAAAACAAAACUAAUUUUAUUGUUACCAUCCAUUGCUUUCCAGGAUAUGGGGAACCUGAGAGAUACGCUCAUAUACUGUUGUCAUAGUGCUGGAAAAUAACCUGUAAAUACUUACUAAAAUUAUAAAUACGCACAUGCACAUUUCAGUAGAAAAUCCCAUGUAUCUUAGGUAAGCACCCGGAUAUGCAAGGAUAUGAACACAGGGAUGUUUAUUACGGCAUGGUGUUGCUGCAAAGAAGUCAGACAAUCCAGAUGUCUUCAGUAGGUGAUCUGUUGACCAAAUGAUGAUGUACACAUACUAUGGCAUAUUAUGCAGUCAUUAAAAAGAGCUCUAACUUAAAAAAAAUAAGAAAUUCAUAGCUUUUUAGUUUUGCUAAAUUAUUGUUAACCACUGAUAGAUGAUGGAUAAACAAAAUAUAUACACACAAUGAAAUAUUCAGCAUUAAAAAGGGAGAAAAAUUUAACGUUCUGCAACAUGGAUGAAACUUGAAGACAUCAUGCCAAGUGCAGUGAGCCGGACAAUGAAAGGACAGGCACUGUGGGUCCACUUGUAGGGGUCACCCAGGAGAGGCGAGUCCGCAGAGACAGGAGGUAGGUAGUGUGAUCAUUACCGGGGGCUGAGAGGGGGCAGGAGGUUGGGACAGAGUGUUCAUGGGGACGGUUCCUGUUUGGGAACAUUCUGGAGAUGACGGCAGGGAUGGUCAAGCAACACAGUGAAUGCACUUAAUAUCACUGAAUUUUGUGGUUAAUGCGCAUGGCUUACCAUGAGCAUGGCUGUGCACACACCUCCAGCAUGUGCCAGUCCUUAGAGGCUUGGCGCAGGUAGGGAGUGAGGAGACCUGGCUCCCUGUGCGACAGGAACAAGGCCCGUCCCUCUCUGCGCCUGUUUCCUGGACUGUAAGGCAGCCUGUGCUCCGUGGUGGCAGGGGCCCAUUUCAGCUCCUGACAACGUGUGGCCCAGAGCCCCGUGGGACACGCUCUGUCCCUACUUCCCUCAUCUGGCCUUCAUCCCAAGGGGGAGGGGCUGGCAGGCUCUGGGCCUCUGUGCCCCCAAACCCCUCCUCAGCCCGGCCUGCCAGCCUAGCACGUCCCUGUCCCUGCUGCUGUCUCCUGCUGCUGGGGGGCUCCUCCAGCACCCAUGGGCACUGCGCUCCUCCCACCCGGGGAAGAGGGCUGGGGCAGGUCUGUCAGCAGGACCCCAGUUCUGCACAGGAAGGCGCUUGGCCACAGAGGGGCGGCCUGGUGCUCUUUGUCAGGAGGCCCACUGGCCCACAGAUAAAAGGUACACACUGCUUGCCUUGCACAGAGGAGCGGAGCCUGUGGUCGCCCCACAAGCGUCUGAUCACACGGCUCCUUUCCACCACCCUCAGGUGGCUCAUAUCCCUGGAUGGCUGACCCUGGGUACCCCUGACCUCUGGCCUCAGUCCCUGCCUGUCCCACACCAAGCCCCCAUCAGAACACUGGCGUCUCGCAGACCCUCUGUUUUCUAGAGUCUCUGACUGGAAUGUUCCUUCUGAACUCCCCACCUCACACUCCCUUUGCCUGGCUAGCAGCUAUCUUUUGACUCAGGUUCCCACCUGUCGCCUCUUCCAGGAAGCUUUCCCGGAUUGCCCAAGCUGCGUUAAGUGACUCUUCUGUGCCUUCAUCCAUCAGGGCCCUGGCCACACUGGGAGGCCUUUGCUCUUGUCUGUGCUCAGGGUGAGGGCUGAGCUUGACUCCGGUCAGGGCUGUUGGGCUAAUGGUGACCCAGAGUUGGCAGCUGCCCCAGCAGGUCUGAUUGCAGUUUUCCCUCCCAUCCUUUCCCCAUCGCUGCCCCGUGGUCAUCCCUGUCCUAUUGUUCCUUGCAGGUUCCUCCUUCCCUCCAUUGUUUCCCUCAAACGCUGGUAGAGACCGAGCUGCAGAGAGGCGCCCUUCAGGACCACUGACCAUCCCUCGGAGGGGAGGCAUCCAGUUCCCCACAGCAGCCUUGAUUUACUGGACAAGGCGGCCUGUUGGCCAGGUGUCAGGCUCUGUCUGGAGGCAAGUGGUUUGCUUUGAGGUGAUAAACGGGCUCAACAGGGCUUGACCCUGAGCCAGCCUCCCGGGGCAGCCCCAGCCUGCCUGGCUAUUUUCCCCGAUGCUGCAGAGUUUGGCCAAUACAUGAUUUUUAAAAGUUCAGAAACAGUUUUUCUUUGCUCCUGGAAAGACCUUGCACACAAUUUGUGUCUUGAAAAAUCAGUGCAACAAAUGGAGUUCAGAAUGCUCCUUAGCUGGGAAGGAUGGAACUGUUUUCGUCCCUGUAUUUUUAUUCCUUGGCCUGUCAUGGCAGAUCAGUGCCCACAUGAGAAUGACUGGUUGUGUCUGGGAUUUGUCUUCAGAAAGCUGAGGAGGGCAGGAAUUCUGGCUGCUUUUUGUGAUGGGAGAAAUAUUUGUACCUCUGGGAUGAAUGUUUUGAGUGAAAAAUGUAAAUAUCUGCCCCAGAAGCCCCCUCCCUCCAGGACCCCGAGCUCAGGUGGGGGCCAGGAUGUUCCCCCUACUAAGAAGCCAUUUCACCAUGGCAGAAAAAGAGAACAACACCUGAACAUCAGCCACAGAAAAGCUGCUGAGAGCGCCGUACGGCCCUGAGGGAGGUGUCCGUGCUGGACAGAUGACUGCGGGCUGCGAUGUCCGAAAAGGCAGAGCACAGGACGGUGCAUCUGGCAAAACUCAGACUUCGUGGGGGACUGUGAUGAGGGAGCAGGACUGGCACUGAGCUGCCUGGGACGAGGAGCAGGCGCUCCUGCCGCCCCCCCCGUGGCCUGACCUGUAUGUAGCUUGCGGCACCUUAGAUCUGCUGGGCCCCCCACGUGUCCGUGUGCACGGGGUGGCUGUGAGCAUCUGGGAAUCAGACUGUCCUGGAGGCAGCCUUGACCCAGUGCUGAUGCCCUAUGGUGGGCGCUGCUGUGGACGGGGGCGCUGCAGGACAAACACAAGCCCUGCUCCUGCCCUCCAGGCAACAGCUGCCCAGGGGUGAGAUAGAAAAGUGAUUUAUAAGUAAGAACCCUUCCUCCAGGGUCUCCUCUGUGGAGUAACCCACCAUGGGUAGUGCCAGCCCUUUCUGUGGGUUCAUUCCAGACUACAACCUCCUUGAGGCCAAGGACUCUGUCUUCUUCCCUGUGUGUCCCCAGUGCCUAGCAUGGGGCCUGGCACCUGGAGGUCUGUGUAGGUGAGUGUCAAGUUGAAUUAAGUUAAUGAAAGCUAGCCCCUCAGCAGCAGGGAUGGUGCUAGAGGGCAGCCUUCUCUGGGGAAGGUGACCCUCCGGCCAGGGACCCAGGAUAUCCUGAAGGGCAGGGCAUUUAAGGGCCUUGAGGGGGAAUCAGGGCAGGAACUAAAGCCAGCGGCCAUUCUCCCCUCCUCUGGGCAGGCUUGGCAACCCCCACCGGGUUCCUACCCCUCACUGCCAUUGUAGGGUGCACCUGGGACACUGGGACACUGUUACCUGCAGGGGCUUCUCUGGGCAUGUCUGGGGCAGGAGUGAGGGCUUGAGCUUUGGGGUUUGAUGGACCUAAGUUCUAACCCCCCACCCGUCCCUGGCAAACCAUCUCCCUCCGCAAGGUGUCCACAUCCUCACCUAGGGCGUGGGGGAGCCACCCAGGCCCCAGAAUGCUGGGCAGAUGCAGGGAGAUGUGCUGUGCUGCCGGGGCUCAGUGAGUGGGAGCAGCCAUGGUCACUGGUGUUGGCCCGAAGGGCUGGGUCACAGGGUGAGGAUGCAGACGCGCUGUCCCAGAGGUGUGGCCGUCUCAGCAGUGUGUGUGCCGUUUGCUGGCCGUCAGCGGCUCUGCUGUGCGCCCUGCAGCCAGCCUCUCUGGGCUCUGAAGUGCUGCAGAUGCUUCAUCUGCCAGGGGUAAGACUCCAGGGCAUGGUUGGGGACCGUGGCCACCUGGUUGGAGCCUGUGGGCCCUGUCCACAGGUGUAAAGGUAGGAUUGAAAAGCAUCCUGUGUGCCCUCAUGCCACCGUGGCCCCGUCCUGAGAACCCUGGAAGCUUGCCAGCAUUCAGCAACUAAAGGGCCAGCCCCUGGCCAGCCAGACUCUCUGGGGCCUGCGUCAGUGCCAGGAAGGCCUGUGCCCAAUCUGAUUGAUCAGUGCUUGGGCUGCACCAAUUGUAACGAUUUUAAAUUUCACUCCAGACCAAGGGUGCUCAAACUAACACAGGAAAAGGCUUGGUGCUGACCAGGUAACACAACUGAGGCUUGGUCUCUCUGUUGCUGCUCAGGCCCCCGCGUCGGGGCCGGGCACACUGACACUGCAUCUUGGGCUCGCAGUCCAGACCUGGCCGAGGGGCAGACAGCAGAAGCCCCAGCCCCCUCCCCAGACUGAGGCCCUCAUUCUUUGGGGUCUCAGCUCUAAGUUCCUCUGUCUGACCUCUUUGUAAGGGCCACGUGAUGAUUGCUGGUGUCAGUGACAAGGCUUCCCCUAGAUGGGAGCUCUGCAUGAAGACCCUGAUGUGGACCUCAGGCCACCUCUCCUCCUGCACUGUGCCAGCACCCUGCCCUCCAGCCUGCAGGGACCCUUCUGGCCUUCCCCAGUCCCCCGAGCACAACGUGCAGUCCGUAGUGCUCUGGGUUCGCUCCCAGUGUGAAAUGCCCACCCGUUUGCUUGGGUGUCUUACUCAUCCUCUAAGAUGGGGCUCUGGCACACCCCCACCGGGAAGCCUUCCCUGACAAGCCCGUGUGGGUCAGGCCCUCGUGGGUGGGCCACAGUGCUUCUCUGCCACAGCCCCACCAACCUUGUCCGUGUCGUCUUGCUGCUUUUCUGUCUGUACUGCCCUGCCCUUCUGGAGACUGGCUCCCAGCUCAGAGGAGGCGACCGUGUUGCUCUGGUGGAGAGAAGGGCUGGGGGUGGGGGAGUGGGUGGGCAGUGAAUGGGUAAAUGUGUGCAUGGACGGAUGGUGGGCAGGUGGGCGGAUGGAUGGGCAGAUGGGUGGUAGAAGCAUGGAAGGAUGGACAGGGAUGCAGCGUGGAUCAUGGCUGUGUGGGCAAGUGGGCAGAAGGGUGCUCGAACCUGGCACAUUUGUUGGCACGUGUUGGAGGGAGUGUGAGCUCUCAUCUCGAGUUUGCCUUCUCUCUGGCUGAGGCAUCCUAUACGCUCACUUCCCCCCUCUGGGAGAAUUAUCAUAACUCCUCCCUGUGGGAUGUUGGAGGGGGGCUUUGAAGGAUGGGGCUGAGCAGGUGGCCUUGCCCAAUGACCGCAGUGGUCACGCUCCACAUGCUUUGUGCUCUGUGCCUGCAGACCACCCACCUGCAGAGGGGACGGCUGGACGCGGGUGCACCCUCAGUGUGCCAGGGCUCAGGAGGUGUGUGCAGAAGGAGUGAGGAGCCACAUUGUCCCCAGCGUUGUCCGCGGUGCUGCAUCGUGGCGUGGCUGUCCUUGGAGCGUAGGAUUCCAGUGUGAGCACACCUUGGUCCACUGCCAUUCUCCUGCCCACGGCCACCAAGAAAUACUUCUGAUGAUGACUGUUUUUCUGUCUAAAAGACUAGCAAUUAGUGGCUAAUGUGCACAGCCCCUGCUGGGGUUCCCCAGCUCUGUGACUCCUGGGUCAGCACUCUGCUGACAGUUGUCCCCCUGAUCUCCCCCGCUCUGCCCCCUCCCUCCAUCUCCCUUUCAGCAUUUUCUUAAGCCGGUUUUGGGGUUUGGUGCUCAGGGUGCAGAGGUGAAUGAGCUACCACCUUGCCUGCAUGUCAUGGCCGCUGAGAAGCCAUCCCAAGUCUUCUCCAAAGCAGGCAGCAAAGGUGGUAUGAGAUACACGUGCGAAAGGGCCUGGGGGCUGAGAGGGGGGCAGGUAGCCUGGUAACAGAAAAGGCCUGAUUGGUGGACUUAGGAAGUGCAGGUGCUGAGCUGGCCCUGGGCUCUGCCGAACGUGGAAUCGAAGUCUCAGGUUCGUGCCAAGUUCAUUGCUUUCUGAUUGGACAAUGACCUACGUGUGAUUCUGGCCUCCCCAUCUCUGAAAUGGGCUAAUGGUACCUCCUGGUGCUGCUUUGAAAGCCAAAUACACAGGCUGUGCAAGAUCUCUAUUAAUACAGAAACCUGUACCAACUCUUGAUUUAUGGUACCUUUCUUUGUAAUCCUAUCUUUCCAGGUAAAUGAAGUUUUCUUGUUUAAAUGUUUUUUUUUAAUUGUUAAACUAAGAUAUGCAUUGGAAAAAAUUGAGUCACAUGCAAGUUGAUAGAAUGUGAAAGACCUAAAGCCUGAGAUUCCCCGCUGUUACAGUACACGCUGUUAGUGCGGAAUCACCUAGAAGGGGAGAAGGCUCGGGCCAGAGAGGCUCGGCUCGGCUCGGCUCCGUGGCUGCUCACUGGCUGUGUGUUCUUGGCAAGUCACAGGUGCUCUUGCAAACUCAGUUUCACCAGGUGUGCACUGGGGCUGAGAAGUGUCUGUUCCUCACCGCUCUUGUGUGGGAUUCAAUGAUUUUACCAGGUGUAGCCUGAUCGCAAGCAAUGUUGGCUUGUUCCGUGGCGGUGGUUUCAAAGCCAGGGGAAGGAUUUAGGAGGCAUGAUUCGUGACCACUAGUGUUCUGAAAGGCCAAAAUAACCAUGACUCCCGACAUGAUUCCAGGAGCCAUCUUCACAGCAAACAAGCUGUGUUGGGCUUGUUUUGUUUGCUGAAGUUCCUUAGUGCGAUCCCUACUCAAUAUAUUUCAAGUCAUGCUUUCAAGGUUUAAAAAGAAAUUGUGGUAAUAAAUACACAUAACAUAAACUAUCUUAACCAUUGUUAAGUGUCCAGUUCAGUGACAUCAAGUCUCAUUGUGCAGCCAAUGUCACCACCAUCCAUCUCCAGAACUUUCACAACAAAUCUCAGCCCUUGGCAAGAGCCACUCUGAUUUUGUCCCUGUGAACUGACUGUUCUAGGGACCUGAUAUAAGUGGAAUCCUGGCGUUUGUCCUUCUGUGACAGGCCUGCUUCAAGUGGCAUCAUGCCCUCAAGGCUCACCCACAUCGCAGCAGGCAUCAGAAGCCCCUUCCUUCUUGAAGGCUGAAUAUUAUUCCGCUGUUAUGGCCACACUGCAUCUUGUUUAUCGGUCUGUCUGUAGGUGGAUUUGUGGGCUGCCCCCGCCUCUCGUCUGUCGCGAACACCGCAGCUGUGGGCCUGCGUGCACACGUGUCGCUCGAGUCCCUGCUCUCGCUCCUUUGAGAGAGAUGCCCAUCAAGUUUGUAGAGCGCCUUUUAGGUGACCAGCCUGGCCUCAGGUGUUGGGGGUAAAGAGGUGAGGAGGAUGGGGCUCUGUUCCUGGAGCCACAGCCUGGGAGAUGGAAGUGGAUAGGUGGUUCCCUUGGGGCAGGAGAUGGUCCUCUGCAUGUGCGGUUGGCUUUCUCCGUGUGCUCUCACCUGUGCAAAUGCAUCACUCCCGGGUGCCGGGAAGCUGCUCUGCUUAGCAGCUCCAUGUACAGGUGGGAGACUGAGUCAUGGGAAGCUGCAACGCCUUGGCUGAGAUCCCCUGCAUGCUUAGUCGGGAAGCUAGAGUCAGAAUUCAGGUCUACGGAGUCCAGUCCACCAAACUGUUCUCAAAAGCAUCCCCAUGCAGCCAGUUUUAGGCUUUUGGCUGCACGUGCUGGUGACAGAAACCUGGCUCACCCUAGCUCAGCCACGAGGAGGCAGUCGAUGGCCCUUGUAAUGAGGGAGGCCAGGUGCUGGGCUGCCUCUGGGCUCUGCUGCAUCUGGGGGUGGGGCUGUCUGUGCUUCUCUCUCCACCUCCGGGGGCUGCUUUCCUCUGGGCCCCAACACUUUGCAGAGUUCUUCCAUGCAGCUGGGGAAGCUGACUGCGUGAAUCCAGGCAAUACUCAGACCCUACAGCAGACGCGAGCUCCCCCAGGCUCCAGCUGCAAUGGGCCAGGAAGACAGAGCUUGGAUUGGUAGGGCCAGCCCAAGAAGGCCAGCCCAGCAGGCCGCUGGGACGAGGGAGGAGAGCCAGUGGGCAGGCAGGGCACAGAUGUCCUCAUGUGGCAGGGAGGGCCUUGCUGGCAGAGCCCUGAUGAGAAUGGAAACCAGGCAGGCAGCACAAAGGUCUCCGCCCGCAGCAGAGGCCUGGUGUGGGUUUCAUCUUCAUUGCAUGUGAACCCACCCUGCAAGUGGAUUAAAAUACAAAUGGCCAACGUUUCAAGUACCUCAAUAAAGUUUAUCAUCCAUCCAAAGGGA